CAGCAGCCGCGGUAAUACGAAGGGGGCUAGCGUUGUUCGGAUUUACUGGGCGUAAAGGGCGCGUAGGCGGACUGAUAAGUCAGGGGUGAAAUCCCAAGGCUCAACCUUGGAACUGCCUUUGAUACUGUUUGUCUUGAGUUCGAGAGAGGUAAGUGGAACUGCGAGUGUAGAGGUGAAAUUCGUAGAUAUUCGCAAGAACACCAGUGGCGAAGGCGGCUUACUGGCUCGAAACUGACGCUGAGGCGCGAAAGCGUGGGGAGCAAACAGGAUUAGAUACCCCGGUAGUCCCUGUCUCUUAUAA
rnacentral:rRNA from 1 species